rnacentral:lncRNA from 1 species
UAGACCAAAUAGCACCCCCAAACUCACCCUCAAGCUUCCCACAAGUAUUUCCAAUAAUAUUAUCAUCCCGGGCAUGAAAUCAAGUAGCGAUAACAUCAAAAUGAUCCCUGCGACGUAAGUAAUGCUAUAUCACCUCUCUUUUUCUUUAUAGUUUGAGUUUUGGAAGAUAUUUAAUAGUUAAGAAAAUUCUUAAUUUCUAGUUUUAAGCUCUUAAAUAUCAAGGAAGGUUGAUUAAUUCAUUUCAUAAUAGUUAGAACUCACGGGACGGUGAUCGAAAGUCGUGAGUUCGAGUUAUUUGACUUGUAAUUGGACUAUUUUUUGGGUUGUUUCAUGUAUCUUUUGGGCUGUAUAUUUUGUUGCUAUUAAAUGGUAUUUUUGGAGUAUAAAUGGUGUGGAGAAACACCGCAUAAUGGAGAAAUCAUGGAUUAGUCAUUGUGUUUGACACUACUAUAGUCGUCAUUUUGGAUAUGAAUUGAUUGGGGUAUAUUGGGCUGUUGUAAGCUAAAUAUAACAUGGAUUUCAACUUGCAACUACUGUAUGAGGUAAUUAUAUUAUGUUCCUACAGGUUCUUAAGGUUAUCUUUGUAUUGGUUAAGUUAAAUGGAUGAACUAGUGAAUAAAGUUGCUAAUUAAGAAUAAUUGGAGUUGUGGAUCGUUUUCUUUGUUAUGGAUAUAUGGUAUAAGGUCGGAAUUAUUGAUGAAUGACUUCAUUAUCAUGUUAAUGAUACUAUUAAUUUAAAGUAAGAAGUCUAUAAGGGGUGAUAUGGGGUAUACAGAUUCCAAUUGGAGCUUGUCGCUAGUCGUAAAAUAGUUAUGACUUGUUGUUAUUUUAUGGUGUCUUGUUAUUGNNNNNNNNNNNNNNNNNNNNNNNNNAUUACAGGGGAGAUCCUGCCCGAAUUUAUAUAAACGAGCUACAAGUUUAAGUUGCAGACUUAGCCUUUAUUCAAUACUGAUUUCGAAUCUCCUUAUGCAAUGGUAGAUUGAGUUGAGUUUUUUGAAGAGGUUCUUGGGAGGUAUUAAGGACUCACCAUGGUUAAGGUAUGUUAAGUCACUUACUUCUUUCUAUUGGCAUGAUCUAAAGUGAAACGAACAUAAACGGUAUGCUAAUUCAUAACGGAUCCACUCCUAGAAACUAAGGUUGUCCAUGUUGUUCUUUCCUUAUAAAGUUAUUCUAAGCAAGUGUGUAUGAUCAUUAAAUCCUACUAAGAUUCAUAUUGAUGGUAGGGAUGUCCAUAAUGUUAAUCGAAGGUGCAAUAACCUUACGUCACUCCGAAAGGUUUAGAACGUGAUUCUAUGAGUCCAAUAUGCAUUAUAUAUGUAUCUACUUUAAUCUACCGAGUCGUGUUAUAGUUAGACGGGUACCAAACCUAUUGUGCAACCACUAAUCAUUUGGGUUAAUGAGCUCCAUAUGGCCGGGUACGAUUCUAUCGAGCCUUAUAAUGGCUGGGUACGUUUUUACCGAGUCCUCUUUGAGGCCGGGUACGAUAUGAUGAUGAUGAUGCCCAUAGAGGCGUAUGUUUUUAAAAGUUUAUGUAUAUAUAUGUAUUAUGCAUUUCAUGUCAGUAUCCCCCAGAGGCACUCAGAUGUUACAGGUUGUAUCUCACAUAUCUCUCUUUACAUUAAUGUUCUUGUUUAUGCUUUCCUGUCUUACAUACUCGGUACUUUAUUUGUACUGACGUCCCUUUUGCUUGGGGACGCUGUGUUUCAUGCCCGUAGGUCCCGAUUGAUAGGCUGACAGUCUUUCUAGUAGGCUAUCAGCUCAGCAGAGGUGUUGGUGCACUCCACUUGCUCCGAAGUUGCCUAUUUGGUCAGUAUGCUUUGGAUAUGUAUUGAUUGGUAUGUGGGGCCCCGUCCCGACCUUUAUGAUUUUAUGUACUCUUAGAGGCUUGUAAAUAGAUGUCAGGUUUAUGGAUACUUGUAUGGCCUUGUUGGCCUAUGUGUUGAGUUUACAAAUGGUCAUGUCGGCCUUAUAGGCCCGUAUGUCACAUGUAUAAGUUUGUAUAUCAUGUUGGGUCGUCAUAUGUUGAGUAUUCCCUUACGUUUUAUUCUUGUUAUCUCAUGACGGAU